CAAAGGAUGAAAGUUCUACCGAAGACUCGGGUGGCGUAAAGCCUUAAUAUCCCGCCGAGGCCAAGAAAGAAUGGAUAUUUAAUGCCACGUCUUUUUGGCGUGGUUUUUUGAUUCUUACA
rfam:Lactobacillus iners DSM 13335 genomic scaffold SCAFFOLD5, whole genome shotgun sequence.